AUCUUGCGACCGUGUGCUCUAUGCUUCGGUCGGCCCGCCACGUGCCACGAGUGUAAUGGCGGCGCGUCACUGGCGUAAUGGCGGCGCCCGGUGAUCACCGCACGUUUCACAUCGCAGUUACGGUUUACGAGUUUUUUAAAAAAUAAUAAAAUAUUCACAGUAAUAUCCGGAUAUUUGUAAAAAUUCACCGUGACCUGUGCUCUCCUUCUUCGCCUCGAUUAGAAAAACCCACCGAUUCAUGCCCGCUGACGAUGCGCUGUCCGCGGAGGGUAAAUAUUUACCUCGCAAAGUCACUAUCACUAUUCGUCGAGGAGAAUCUUAACUUGCACUACAGCUAGUUGAUAAGUUUGUUCAUCGGCCUUUAUUGAUUUGAAAAAAUGAGCACGAUGCCCCUGGUUACUGCAUAACCUCAACCGUGUGACAGCUUGCCUUAUAGGCACAAAACCUUAGUUUGCGACGAGCAAUUUUUAUAAGCUAUCCUGCUACGACACAAUCAAGAGCGCUUGUGCCAGGAGAAAGGCACUAGAAUUUAGUUUAUUGGCUAUAAUUAUAGUGCUAUAAUUAAUCUGGCCUUCUAUCCAAGAUCAGUUCUACAGAUGUUUCCUCUCCUUGAGUUGCGUCAUAUGACCACACGCUUCUAUGUAUCCCAGACUUUUCCCUUUCCGAUGGAGAGUCUCCUCAUUUGAUUGUAUUACACCCAAAGGGCUCGUGAACACAUUCAGACACUAGUUGCUUUUACUUAUAAUGAAGAGAACGUAUCCUGCUCCGACAGCUAGUAUACAAGAUAAUUAUUACACUAAUAACUUGUUGUUUCGGGCUUAUCACAUACACAAAUCACAUACAUACAACUAUCACUAAUACUUUUUCUUCCAGGUGGAGGAUUUAACACAACAAUCAACCACUCUGCUCUCACACAUAAUAUUUGCCUAACUUAAUUUAACUUAAUACCACUCUACCUUCUGUGACGGUAAUGGCCACACCCUGCGUCUACCCUGCUUUUCGCAUAAUCACUUUCUUAAAUGCGACACAAGUUAAACUCAUUGCAUGGAUUACCAUCUCAUAUUUAAUAAAGAACCUAUAACAUCCACCUUUGAUUUAUAAUUUUGUUUUAAACCUAUUUGUCCCUAUAGAGAGUUACGAACACCGGACAUAGCAAAGUAUACUAUCACAAUAUCUUUCUACGUUGGUAUUAACCCUUUCCUACUCCUUCUUAGUUCUAAAGGACCGUCGCCACUAUUGCUGGUCAAAAUUAUAACCACAUUGUAUUAAGAACUCUAUAGACUUUUUUAGAAACCUAACCUCGACUUUUCACAGCUCGCCUAGCCUAUUUGUUUGACUGAAUAUAUGCCAAAGCUAAUGUUAGCACAAUCGUUGCACUUUUGGUUGCACACAUCGUAGUUGAGAAAUUUAUUAAUUCGUAAGUUUUUAAGCAUAUUCUACGAAGUCGAUAUAACAUCGGCAUGGCUGGGCCACGUGGCCCGGCAUACGAUCCCCUAUUGAUAAGGCAUAUAUAGAUAGCCUAACACGCCAGUAUCCAGGACCUAAACAAAAAUUUUCUAUGGGACGAGACAAAUACGAAACGAACGAAUACGUAACGAAACGAAUUUUUGGACAGGAUCACAUCUUUCACAUAGUAUCGGACAACUUCCCUAUUAUCGAAGACGGAAUCAUUGGGCUACCAUGUUUAGGGAAGUAUAACUAUUCAAUAUCCAAUGACAAAAUCCGACUAAACGACAAAACCAUUUUGUUUCAGAAACCAAUACACUUAACUCCUGGUGUACUGGUGACCCGAGGAGAUCGCUCGUCUCCGCGAGGCGUGAAUCCGCGCUCGGCGCCGGUUCACCAGAUCCCGCCGUCCCUGGGGGCGCCCUUACAAGAUGGUAUUGAACAAUUUCCGUCCAUGGGCGCCUUCCGCAACGGAGAGCAUGGACCUUCGGUUCAUGGAAGAGGUUGUCGGCACUCUGUUCCCGGGAGCGGCGAACGAGGAAGAUGGCAGGUUCACCGAUGAGGAGGAGCAGGAGCGUCAACCGCCGGAAGUUGGAGCCCGGAAUCGAGGGUUAGCGAGGAAGAAUUGACCUAGGCUGUAGGGAGGCUCGGAGCGCGGAAAGCUCCGGGUCCCGACGGAGUCCCAGCCCGCCUGUGGAAGGACGUCGCCGGGGUCUUGCCCUGAGAUUAAUACGUCUGUUCGACAGAUGCCUGUCUCGGGGCGAAUUCCCCGUCUUGUGGAAGGAGGGACGGAUGGUCCUGCUGCCGAAGCCGGGACGGUCUUCGUACUCGCCUUCCGUCUUUCGGCCGGUAUGCCUUUUGGACGAGGCUGGCAAGCUACUGGAGAGAGUGGUAGCUGCCCGCCUCGAGUCGCAUUUGUCUGGAAGUGUUCUCGGACUGCACGACAGCUAGUUUGGCUUUCGGAGGGGGCGGUCUACGGCCGACGCUGUCGCCCGUGUCCGUUCCUUGGUCGAGGGGGUCGAACAGCGUGGUUGCGUGGCAUUGGCCGUGUCGCUGAACGUGGUCAACGCUUUCAACAGCAUCCCCUGGAACAAGAUAUGUCGGGCCCUCGAGUUUCAUUGGGUACCCGCGUACCUGCGGCGUGUGGUCCGGGCGUUCCACCGGGACCGGAGUAUCGUCUACACCGUUCGCGGCGGGGGGAUGGCAGGUAGGGCGGUGUACUGCGCGGGGUCCUGCAGGAUUCUGUGUUGGGUCCGUUGCUGUGGAACAUCGCGUACGACGCGGUGCUUCCCCCGGACUCGGCAUUGGCGUGCUACGCCGACGACACCGUCAAUUCACAUCAAUUCACAUCAGAGACCAGGCCACACACCGCGGGCAGGAUGGCACCCAGAUGUCUGCACAUCCUUGACGCGUACCCUCAAUAGUCUUAAGUACUCACCAGGGGUCUUGCAAUUUUCAUAGUUAAGGUCCCUCAGACCAAGCGAGUAUCUCUUGUCUUACAUUUCCUUUUACGUUUAUUGUUUACUACGGAAAGUCAGUUUUCCUCACUUCUGGUAUAUUCCGUUGGCAACUUUCUCACGAGGGCGGUUGAAACCCUUCCUGGUCCACCAACCGUCUUAUUAUCCAAUCGGAGACGGUGUCUACUGCCCUCACUUCCUUAACCAAAAUUAACAUCAACAAAUCCGAUAGAUCCGUGUCCUCAGACACGCCCACACCUACUUUCCUCGGAUACAGUAUCGUCAGUACGUCUUAUACGUACUGAUUGCUCCAUGCAUUAACCUCGAGUACAACUUAGACGCUAACGAAGAGUAAAGUUCGUCAUCCCGUUGACCGCGGAUUCGUUAUCGAACCUGAGGCCAUUGUCAUUAGUGUCGCGAGUACCUAGACGUUGUGGUUAACUACCAACGCUGUAAUAUCUCUACUUGUGUUAAUAAACUGUACCUUUGUUCUACCGCAUCGAUGGCUAA